rnacentral:rRNA from 1 species
UACGAAGGGGGCUAGCGUUGCUCGGAAUUACUGGGCGUAAAGCGCACGUAGGCGGGUUGUUAAGUCGGGGGUGAAAUCCUGGAGCUCAACUCCAGAACUGCCUUCGAAACUGACGAUCUUGAGUUCGGGAGAGGUGAGUGGAACUGCGAGUGUAGAGGUGAAAUUCGUAGAUAUUCGCAAGAACACCAGUGGCGAAGGCGGCUCACUGGCCCGAAACUGACGCUGAGGCACGAAAGCGUGGGGAGCAAACAGG